rnacentral:rRNA from 1 species
AAAGAAAGUUUUUCAAAAUUCAAAUUGUUGAAGAAUUACCUGAGAUCUACAAUGUCGCAAGAGAGGUUGAAUGGCUUGGCAACUUUAUGCAUUGAGAAAAUUUUGCUUGAUGAAAUUGAUAUUGAUACUAUCAUUAGUGACUAUGCAUCUCAGAAUGUUAGGAGAAAUUUUUGA